rnacentral:lncRNA from 7 species
AUUGUCAGCCAUGUCGACCUCAUCAAAUUGGCAUCACAAACUGUGCCUACUUUCAUCAAAAUUGUUCAUCUUUCCAUGUUUUUCUAAUAAACUUGUUGCUCUGUUCAAAGACAGAGUUGUUAGAAGGUGCCAGAUAACAAAGCAACUGCGCUGGUUGUGGCAGUCAAACGCACUGUGUGACAAGGCGUUGAUACAACUGUACACACUCGUGUCCUUAAGAGCCCUUCUGGUCACCGAGAUUGCCAGCCAAUUGUCUGUCCAGCUGAUUUGCAAUUGGCAUUCAGGUUGGCAUCCAAG